rnacentral:tRNA from 1 species
GGGGCUAUGGCGCAAUUGGCAGCGCACCUGCUUUGCAAGCAGGGGGUUAGGGGUUCGAAUCCCCUUAGCUCCACCA